UACGGAGGGUGCAAGCGUUACCCGGAAUCACUGGGCGUAAAGGGCGUGUAGGCGGGAUGUUAAGUCUGUCUUUGAAGACCGGAGCUCAACUCCGGGAGUGGCCUGGGUACUGGGAUUCUAGACCUCUGGAGAGAGAAGUGGAAUUCCAGGUGUAGCGGUGGAAUGCGUAGAUACCAGGAGGAACACCAACGGCGAAGGCAGGUUCCUGGACAGAAGGUGACGCUGAGGCGCGAAAGUGUGGGGAGCGAACCGG
rnacentral:rRNA from 1 species